rnacentral:sRNA from 2 species
CCACUAGGAGGAGCCGUCACUUGGGGAGUAGCCAGUCGGUCGACAGACCGGGCCUCCGCGUCAACAUACUCGGUCAGCAGACCGUGGCGCGAAGGGAGCGGGCAACCGCUC